GCUGUGGAGAUCUGGCAUUGUGUUUCCUGCAUGAAAACAGUAGCUAAUGGUGCCUGGACUUACGACACCACUUCUGUAGUCACAGUAAAGUCUGCC
rnacentral:miRNA from 1 species